GAGCGGGCAGCCGCCCAGGAGCCUGUGGAGCUCUUUCUUAAGGCUCCAGAACUCGCCGUCCAGGUGAGUGGAGGCCACGUCUAUCAGUUUCCUGGGGCUGUGUGGCAAAUUACCACAAACUGAGCAGCUGAAGACAACACAAAUGUUCUGGAGAUCAGAAGUCAAACAUGGAUCUUACAGGACUGAAAUCAAGAUCCCAGCAGACAGAAGAGCUCCCAUUGUGUGCCUGCAUAGGUUCCUAAAGCUGCCAGCUGGAAAGGACACAUGUACCUUCCACUCAUGAUCUGUGGGCCAAUGCAGUUCACUCCUGACUCUAUGAGAGAAGGAAAGUACCCAGAAAGCCAAUACCCAAAAUAAUCUGUGAGUAACACCAGUAACUACUAAACCUGCCCCUUUUGCCCACUAGUGACUACUAAAUCUAGCCAAAUAUUUG